rnacentral:rRNA from 1 species
AGUGAACGCUGGCGGUAGGCCUAACACAUGCAAGUCGAACGGCAGCACAGUAAGAGCUUGCUCUUACGGGUGGCGAGUGGCGGACGGGUGAGGAAUACAUCGGAAUCUACUUUUUCGUGGGGGAUAACGUAGGGAAACUUACGCUAAUACCGCAUACGACCUACGGGUGAAAGCAGGGGAUCUUCGGACCUUGCGCGAUUGAAAGAGCCGAUGUCGGAUUAGAUAGUUGGCGGGGUAAAGGCCCACCAAGGCAACGAUCCGUAGCUGGUCUGAGAGGAGGAUCGGCCACACUGGACCUGGGACACGGUCCAGAUCCCUACGGGAGGCAGCAGUGGGGAAUAUUGGACAAUGGGCGCAAGCCUGAUCCAGCCAUACCGCGUGGGUGUAGAAGGCCUUCGGUUUGUAAAGCCCUUUUGUUGGGAAAGAAAAGCAGCAGGUUAAUACCCCGCUGUUCUGACGGUACCCAAAGAAUAAGCACCGGCUAACUUCGU